rnacentral:lncRNA from 1 species
GUAUUUAUUACGGAAACCGUUUACCGUUUAACAACCAAACGGAAGCAACAGAGAAAAUUGAACGAAAUGGGGCGGGACCUACCUGAUUUUGUCCAAUAGGAACUCUCGAUUGCUUUUUCCUCUUGGAAUGGACGGUUUUUGCAACAACAAAAAAUAACAGACGAAACGUUUUGCAACAGAAUCGGCGUAAUGAUUACACCUCAGUAGAAUUCCUAGUCUCGUCAUUGAGGUGAUUUGUCCACGUGAGCUUCCGUACUGUUCAUUCAGCUGAGAGCUGCAAAGAGCGAGUGGAUGGGGGGUUUGUGCUAACUGGAAUUUCUAUCAAUUUCAUUCUUGUUGUAUGGACAUCUAUGCAAUAGUGUACUGUUUGUCUACAUUAUUUCGAAUGCGCAUUUGUGUGUGUGUCUCUUGCUGAUUGGCGAGCAUUCAUUAAACAGCGACACUGCACCAACCUGUUCUAGCUAGCUAAAUUUGCUAACAGUAGCUAGCUAACGUUAGCAAGCUGUGUGCAUACGGCAUACCAUAGCAGGCAGCAAUGUUAUAAUGCAAUACAUUAAUUUAGAAGAAAUAUGCUAUGCUAAAAAUGAUUUGAUUAGGCUCGGUUAGUCAAUGCACGGCUUGGCACACGUCCCCAGGAAUCCUACCGCUAGCUGAUUAACUGGCUGGUAAAAACAGCAGCGAGCCGACGGCCACCACCACAACAUGAGUCAGAUUAACGUUAGAUGUCGCGCUCUUUGAAUACUCUCUCUGCUACUGAUGAUGAUGCUGCUCAUCUUUCAUUUCAGUUUUACGGCGGCGGAGGGAGAUUCUCUACUAUGACAAUUGGAGGCAGAAAAUGGAAACCGUGGAAAAAUGGAACAAAUGCCUAAUAUCACCUAAGUUGUUGGAUAGAAAAGUAUUUCCCAAACAUAAUGGCGAGACAGGCAUGAUUGUGAAGCAUCUUCACAACACAUUCAGACUUCAACAUAGUUUGCAGAUACAGUCCAUCAGUCGCUCAGAAUGUGCCACUGGCUCCUGUCCAAAUUUGAUGAUGAGUAGGAAUGAGCACCACGAGCCUCGGCCUGUCCCUGUUGCCCUCACCCCCCAGCUUGUCCCAAGGGCCCAUCGGCCCCUCUGCCUCUCCGUCUCCUCAGAUAGCAAUGGCCGCUUCAAAGCUCUGGAGACCCAAGAGUGGAAAAACAAUCUCAAAGCCCAGAUGGAGCAGGCCCACAGUGCAGGAGCAGCCAGCAGCACAGGCUCCCUGGAGAGGGCCUCGUUGUUUUGUGCCUCUGGUUCCACCACGGCCUCCAGCUCUGGCCUAUCCAGCCCCGUGGAGAACCUCACCAAGAGCAAGUCCUCCAGCCGCUUCUCCCUAUUUUCCCCUCCCUGGAACAGCAGCUCAGAGUCCGACUCCAACCCCCCCUCCCGCUCCGGCUCCAAGAAGCUGCGUAACUACAGCAUGAGGGCUGCCACAGGUCCGGCCGGGGUGGGGGCAGUGGGUAGGACGGGUCCACCAGACACCCCAGACACACCCAAACUGAACGUCCCGGAACACUUCCAGUACUCUGAGCCCGUCAUCUCCAAGGUGACGGACUACAUCUUCGUGGGCAACCUGAACGCAGCGUACAACGGGCGCACGCUGUGUCGCAACAACAUUGACAGCAUCAUCGACAUGAGCAGCAUGCCGGGGGACCCCGGCCCAAGCCUCAGCCUUAUCCCUUGCACCUGCUCCCGAGGCGCCCGCCACAGCUGGUCCCGCCUCAAGGUGGACAUCUGCGAUGUCCCAGACGCGCUGGGCGAGGGAAGCCCCGCCCUGAAGCAGCACUGCUUCGAGGACAUCAACGAGUGCAUCGAGGCUUCCACGGAAAAAAGGAAACGAGUGCUGGUCCACUGCCGUGACGGGUACUCCCUGGCUCCGACCUGUAUCAUCCAGUACCUCAUGGUGAAGCAGAAUAUGCGGCUGAUCUCGGCCUACGAGCUGCUGAGGGCCAAGUACCCUGUUAACAUCAGGGAGUGUCACCAGAAUGUCCUGGUGAGCCUGGAGAGAGCUCUGCGGCCUGGAGGCAACGUGGACCCAGAGUGCUUCAAGCAGGCCAUCUCAAGGAAAGUGGCCUGGACCUGACCUGGCUCCUCCCCCUCCACUCCACUCUCCCUGUAGUUUGGCCCUCUUUAUUUUUCUAAUCUAACCGUGGCAUUCAAUGGAUAUUUUUCUAUGGACAAUUUUUGAAAGGCAGCUUUACUUUCUGUCAUAGUCAACUGGAUAUGGAGAUGUUGCCACUAACAGUGAGCUUCAAACAUAUUUGGACUGACAUUUGUUGUUGUUUUGGCUCUGUACUCCAGCACUUUGGAGGUUAAAGUGCAGACUGUCAGCUUUAAUUUUAGGGUAUUUUCAUCCAUAUCUGGUGAACCAUUGUAGAAGUGUUUAGAAGCAUAUUUUAUUUACAAUAAAAGUGACUCCAAAAUGACACUAUAUGUUAUUUACCAUUAAUUUCUAUUGGGCACAAAAUUAUCUGAAACACCACCAGAACAAACAGCAAAUGCCUUCAACAAGUUUGUAGUCUCACAAGCUUGAUGUAAUCUUUGCGUGCUAGGAAUAUGGGACCAAAUACUAAACUUUUGACCAGUUUAAUACAAAUAUAAGUGAAUUUGUCCCAAUACUUUUGGUAUGUGCAAAAAGUGCUGUACUUUCUUAACAGUUCACCAGAUAUGGAUGAAAAUACCCUAAAAUUAAAGCUGACAGUCAGCACUUUAACCUCAGUCAUUGUAUCAUUUCAAAUCCAAAGUGCUGGAGUACAGAGCCAAAACAACAUGUCAGUCCCAAUACUUUUGAAGCUCACUGUACUUGCGACGCAUCAAAAUGCUUGUGAAAAUGUAAAUGCAAGUUGAUGUAUUUGUCCUCUUCUGAGCCCGUGAAUUUGACUUUGAUGUUUCUCCAUAAGCGAUUAGAUGUUUUACUCUUUACAUCUGCUAGAUAUGGAAAAUGUUUCAUUCUAGACUGUGACUUCAGGCUGAAUAAGCCCUUUGCCACGCUGGUUUUAUUGUGGCUGUGUUUUUAUUUCAGGGGAAUUUGAAUGGGAGUUCUCAGGAGAACUAAUGAUGAUGUCAUUCCAAUAUAGCUGCAAACACUGCUGAUCUAAUCUGAAAGCUCUGUGUGAAUAAUGGAGGACGUCACUGCUCUCUUGGAUCUACAUCGGCCAAUCACAGGAGCAGAUCAUUACUGUACUAUAUCAGCGACAUGCAGGGGACUUUGCACAUGGUUGCCGAUUUGUUGUUGUAAAUCCCUCCCUCACACCUCAAUUGGUCUGUGACCCUCCUGCCACAGACAGACAUGACAAUGUGGUAUCCUCCUCAGACAUUUUCCAUUAUGGUUCAGAAGACCAGGUGGAAGACAAUGAAUUAUCAUAGAUCGUCCUCUAUGAGGAAAACUAACUUACAUGACGUUCCCUAUCACUUUAACUCACCGUUGUAAACAUUUGCUGUGGUACUUCUUGGAAACUGUGGCUUUGUAAUUUCAGCUGUUGUGUAUGCAAUGAAAAUGGAUGGUCAGUAUCUAUCUCUCUGGAAUGUCAGUAUUAGUAUAUUAUAAAUCAGACUGAAUGGUGAUUCAAUGUUGUACUGCGAGAAAUUCUAUUGCACUACCUAAAAAGGUUCUCCAGAAAUGCACAGUUUGAUGGAUAUUAGUAAGCUGACAUGAAUUUAAACACAACUUUUUUAUUAUCAUUGUUCUGUGGUAUGGAAAUGUCUUUGUAAAAUUAUUGUUUUGAAGACUUUGUGCUCUAGUGUUCGAUUCAGUUAAUUUGGUCCCAAUAUUAUUCCCUUAAAGGGACAGUUUGUUCAAAAGUAAUAUUUCCAUUAUUUUACUUAUCUUGGAAGUAGUCAUAGACCAGUAGUGACUACGUCUAGGAUUAGGGUUUCAUUACUUUGCUUCAGCCACAACAGGCUAAAUGUUAGCAUUCUCUACCUCAACACAAGGGUUGAAUGUUGCCCACUUUAGAACUGUCUGAAUUGCAAAAUCAACUCAAAUUAACAUAACAUUGGAAAGCAAAACUUUCUCUCCAGGGAGUUGUGUAGAGGCUCAUAUGAUUUAGAAAAUAGUUACAUUUCUGUAAAAAAAAAAAAAGAAAUGUCUUGCUACAGUAAUUUAUCAUAUUCAUAAAAUGCCACUGAUCCAAUGUUAUUGUAGUAUGGUUAUGAUCAUAAACCACUAUUCUUUUAUCUGACAGAUUUAAUAUUAGAGUUGCUUAUUUUUGUCAGCAGUGGUUGUAGUACAUUUUUGUUGUUCUGUGACCAGUAUGGGUGGAAUGGAAGCUUCACUAUAUGAGUAUGGUGCCUUUGCUUGAAUUUGUCUUGUGCGACUGUACAGUGACACUUGCACACUUUGUAUGCAGUUGUUGAGCGUUGAUAAACAUUUUUCUACUUUAAAAUGUUGCCUAUUGAUGCUCUCAAUGUUUUUAAUUGGAAUACAUGAGGUAAGGAUUUUAUGAAAGAAUACAGUUAUGUGAAUUGGUUAUUGCUGUAACAUGUUUUGGUGGUCAGUGGGUGCACAGUCUUAUGUACUAUGCGAAAUGUGGAUGUGAUCAGGGUUACAGAAUGACCCUAACUUUCCCAAAAUUCCCAGGUGUUCCAGAAAUCCUGGUCGGAGGAUUCAGGAUUGUCUGUGUAUUUCCACCUGAUUCCUGGAAUCUACCAACUGGGAUUUCUGGAAAACCUGGGAAUUUUGCAACCCUAGAUGUGAUGAUUCAACAUUUUGUGCAAUACUGCACGCCAUACAAUUUAGGCCAUAGACGGAUGUUUUAACAUUUUCAAGGUGAAUAUACUAUAUUUAAAAAUAAACGGUUAUAUAAGGUUUAUUUGACCCUUGUGAUGGUGUCUUUGGAUCGUCUCUCAACUUUGGUUUGGUUUUACAACUUGUUCUCAGGUGAACUGUAUAAUGGCCCAGAAUGUUCUGACUGAACUGUAUAUGAAACCAGAAUAUGUGAAGCAAUGCAUUUCCUGUGUCGAGUUUUUGGUAGGUGUACAUAUUAAAAAAAGACGUUACAUCAUUGCCAUAUGUAUAUUGUUUGAC